GCAGGCCUAACACAUGCAAGUCGAGCGGCAGCGGGAAAGUCGCUUGCUACUUUUGCCGGCGAGCGGCGGACGGGUGAGUAAUGCCUGGGGAUCUGCCCAGUCGAGGGGGAUAACUACUGGAAACGGUAGCUAAUACCGCAUACGCCCUACGGGGGAAAGCAGGGGACCUUCGGGCCUUGCGCGAUUGGAUGAACCCAGGUGGGAUUAGCUAGUUGGUGAGGUAAUGGCUCACCAAGGCGACGAUCCCUAGCUGGUCUGAGAGGAUGAUCAGCCACACUGGAACUGACACGUAGACUACGAGGCAAGCAUGGGGAAUAUUGCACAAUGGGGGAAACCCUGAUGCAGCAUGCCGCGUGUGUGAGAGGCCGGGUUGUAAAGCACUUUCAGCGAGGAGGAAAGG
rnacentral:rRNA from 1 species